rnacentral:rRNA from 1 species
CCCUUAGAUGUUCUGGGCCGCACGCGUGCUACACUGAGUAAAUCAAUGGGUAAGGGAACACGAAAGUGCAACCUAAUCUUGAAAUUUGCUCGUGAUGGGGAUCGACGGUUGCAAUUUUCCGUCGUGAACGAGGAAUACCUUGUAGGCGCGUGUCAUCAUCACGCGCCGAAUACGUCCCUGCCCUUUGUACACACCGCCCGUCGCUCCUACCGAUUGAGUGAUCCGGUGAGGCUCUGGGACCUGGACGGAAAGAGCGUUUCGCUUGUUCUGUUUGGGAAACUUGGUCGAACCUUAUCAUUUGGAGGAAGGAGAAGUCGUAACA